UACGACCACAUCAUAUUAACACACAUGUUCCCAUACGAUCAUCGAAGUUAAGCAACUUCGAGCCUGGUUAGUAUCUAGAUGGAUGACCGCUUGGGAUUACCAGAUGCU